CUUUUCUAUGCAUAAUGUUUAUGAAAUGUUUUGAGAAGCUCUGGACUGAAAGGCGCAAUGGAAGAACAAAGACUGAUUGAUAGUUGAUAUUGACUUCGGAGCUUAAGCGACUCAUUCGUGCGGAACUCUCACUCCUGAGACUUGCGCGAUAAAAUGACUGCUCUUCACGGGGCUGGUUUAAAACACGGUACAGUACGCUUCUAAAGACUGCGGCGGUGGACGAGAUAGUUCGAACCCAAAGACGUUCUCACCAGGCGAACAAAGGCCCAGUUUCAAGGCUUACCCGGUUUUAA
rnacentral:lncRNA from 1 species